AAGAAAAAGAAAGAGAAAGAAAGAAAAAGAGAAAAUAAAAGAAUCAGGCCUGGAACCCAGCGCAGAGUCCCUUCUUGUGUAACCCUGAGGUCCCUCACUGAGCUCCAGAGCAGUCUCUCACCCUCCCUCCCCUACCUCCUUCCACAUAAAUUUGCACCCUCUUUGAAAUCAGUGGCUUGUUUUCCCAGUCUUUCUGCCGGAAGUGUGAUGGCGACCCUGCUGCAGAGGUUUCACGGAGAGAAAGAGGGAGCAUCACAGCUCGGUAACCAAAAUGCAGUGUGAAAUGGUAGGAGACAGUUCACUCUUCAAGUCAUCAGGGAGACAUUUCACCUGGCACAAAGGCAGCUUACUUAGUGGACCAUAAUGGCCUGGAAGAGUUCCUGCCCCUCCCUGAAGUGAGCAAUUUCCUCUGUUCAGCUCUGUCUGCACUGGCCCAUUAUAUCCUAAACACACGGUGCGUUUACCUAGCAAUUAUCUGGAGUGGGAGCCAGCCCUUUCAAGAGGUCCUCUUUGAUCCUUCCUAGGAAUAUCCUGGGAGGUGGGUGGGCAGACGGAGGGCCUCUUGCUGGAGGAGGGAAAGUAAGGCACACAGAGGGUUCCAACAGUGUCCCGGAGUCAGGACUGGGUCUCUGGGACCCCUGGCCACCUAACCCCCACCCCUGCAUUCUGCCCUCUUGGACUUCGCUGCUGCCCUGGCAGGUAGAGGACUUUAAAGAAUCCCAGCUUGCUCCUCCCCAGGCCAGUGAAGGAGGUGCUUCUUAUUAGAGGUGGAUAAAGGUAAAGUGCCUGAGGAUCUUUGGGAUGGAAAAGCUUUUGUGCUCAUUCGAGGUCCUGGAUAUCUUGGAUGCCCUACGUUCAAAUGCUCUGUUCUACCUGCUUCACAUAGCGCAGCAGACCUGCACUGUCUGUCUGGCCUCUUCUUUUGGGAGCCUGUUCCUUCUGCUGAUACCUGACAUCUUGGAAGCAUCCGCUGGUCUCAGGAGGCAGUGUGGUGUGGCAAUGAGAUGGACUCCCUGGAAGUGUUCGGGCUGUGGCUAGAGAGCCAACUGUUGAGGACAUCAUAAGAUUCUAAUGUGAAGACCUAUGGUUUCCUGAGAAUCUGCUAUGUGCCAGGCACUCUGCUAAAAGCCAGAGACAAUCAACACCAUAAGACAUGGCAAAAUAAAUGAACAAAUAAAUAAAAUAAAAGCCAGAGACAAAAAUUAAUGAUAUGAUUAUUAUUCCCCAAUAAUUACCUAAUAUCAAAUAAUGCUUACUUCGUACCAGACACCAUCCAAAGCAGUUUACAUACAUUAUGACAUUCCAUUCUCAAAAUAGUUAUGAGGGAAUGGUACUAUUACAUUCCUAUUUUCAUAAAUGACACACACCACUCAUACAUGUUGAAGUCUGAAGUUGAACCUGACAAAGGGUGUGUGCACCAGCACGGGGACAGAAGUGGAGGCUCACCUCACAGACCGUGGAGGCUUCUUCCCCGCUAGGACUCUAUCUCAUGCAGACUGCAAUCUUGACUCUGUAUUGAUUCAGCGGCAGCGCCUACAGAAAGGUCUGGGAGUGGGCGCACUGGACAUUGCAUGAAGGAGUUGGAUUAAAAGAACCAGUUGGCCCCACCAAUCUGGUAACUGUUUGGUCUUCAUAGGAUCUUCCUGAAGGCUGUACAACUUUGGUGUCCCAUAUGAUAGCCACUAGCCACAUGUGACUGUUGAGCAAUUGCAAUGUGGCUAGUCCAAAUGGAGAUGUGCUGGAAGUAGAAAUUACACAUUGGGUUAUGAAAAAAAAAAGUAAAAUGUAUCAUUUGUAGUUUUUAUAUUAAGGAUAUGCUGAAAUGGUAAUAUUCUAGGUAUAUUGGGUUGAAUAAAAUAUAUUAUUUAAAUAGUUUUAUUAAGACAUAAUGCACCAUUUAAGAUGUACACUCCCUUAUGCUUUUAGCAUAUUUACAGAGUUAUGCAUCCAUCACCACAAUCAAGUUUAGAACAUUUUCAUGACCUCAAGAAGGAACCUCGCACCCUUAGCUACCACUUCCCAGUCCUCUCAUCUCCCUGACCCCUUCUGCUAGGCAACCACUAAGCUGCUUUCUGUCUCUAUGGAUUUGUCUACUCUGGAGAUUUCAUGUGAAUGGAAUCAUAAAAUACGUGAUACUUUGUGCCUGGUUUCUUUCACUUAGAAUAAUGUUUUAAAAGUUCAUCCAUGUUGUAGCAUGUAUCAGUACUUCAUUCCUUUUUAUUGUGUAUAAUAUUCUGUUGUGUGGAUAUAUACCAAGUUUUAUUUAUUCAUUCAUUGUCAACGUUG
rnacentral:lncRNA from 1 species